rnacentral:rRNA from 1 species
UAUACGAUGAAGAGUUUGAUCCUGGCUCAGGAUGAACGCUAGCGGCAGGCUUAACACAUGCAAGUCGAGGGGUAGAGUUAGCUUGCUAGCUUGAGACCGGCGCACGGGUGCGUAACGCGUAUGCAAUCUACCUUUUACAGGGGGAUAGCCCAGAGAAAUUUGGAUUAAUACCCCAUGGUAUAUGUGAAUGGCAUCAUUUAUAUAUUAAAGUCACAACGGUAAAAGAUGAGCAUGCGUCCCAUUAGCUAGUUGGUAAGGUAACGGCUUACCAAGGCUACGAUGGGUAGGGGUCCUGAGAGGGAGAUCCCCCACACUGGUACUGAGACACGGACCAGACUCC